rnacentral:rRNA from 1 species
UACGUAGGUGGCAAGCGUUGUCCGGAAUUAUUGGGCGUAAGGCGCGCGCAGGCGGCCUCUUAAGUCUGAUGUGAAAGCCCCCGGCUCAACCGGGGAGGGCCAUUGGAAACUGGGAGGCUUGAGUAUAGGAGAGAAGAGUGGAAUUCCACGUGUAGGCGGUGAAAUGACGUAGAGAUGUGGAGGAACACCAGUGGCGAAGGCGACUCUUUGGCCUAUAACUGACGCUGAGGCGCGAAAGCGUGGGGAGCAAACAGG